CCUACGGGCGGCAGCAGUGGGGAAUAUUGCACAAUGGGGGAAACCCUGAUGCAGCGACGCCGCGUGAGUGAAGAAGUAUUUCGGUAUGUAAAGCUCUAUCAGCAGGGAAGAAGAAAGACGGUACCUGACUAAGAAGCCCCGGCUAACUACGUGCCAGCAGCCGCGGUAAUACGUAGGGGGCAAGCGUUAUCCGGAUUUACUGGGUGUAAAGGGAGCGUAGACGGCUGUGCAAGUCUGAAGUGAAAGCCCAGGGCUCAACCCUGGGACUGCUUUGGAAACUGUGGAGCUAGAGUGCUGGAGAGGUAAGUGGAAUUCCUAGUGUAGCGGUGAAAUGCGUAGAUAUUAGGAGGAACACCAGUGGCGAAGGCGGCUUACUGGACAGUAACUGACGUUGAGGCACGAAGGCCAGGGGAGCGAAAGGGAUUAGAUACCCCUGUAGUC
rnacentral:rRNA from 1 species